UUCAGGUCAGUUUAUUACCAAGCUCGAUCGAGAGAUAUAAUCUUAUACUCUUCGCGAGAUAUAAAUAAUUAGUAAGCUUCCUCGGUUUGAAAUAACACGUGCUAAAUCUCUCACCACGGUUUUCUUACUUCAUACCUUUUAAAAUCGCGUUUAUAACAGGUAGGUGAAUUGAAGCGUGUUGCAUCGAUGCACUGGGAUUAUUAACAGUCUGGAUUAAGCGGUAGGUACUUAGUAAACGCGUUUAGUUUAAUAUAUAUAAACUAUCAAAUGCGCAAGAUUGUGUAAGAGGAG
rnacentral:lncRNA from 1 species